rnacentral:tRNA from 1 species
GUCCUGAAAGCUUUAAGCGACCUACUUUGUAAAUAGGUAGAAGAUAUAAUCUUAUCUCAUGACU